rnacentral:rRNA from 1 species
CUGGCGGUAUGCUUAACACAUGCAAGUCGAACGGUGUCCUUCGGGGCAUAGUGGCGGACGGGUGAGUAACGCGUGAGAAUCUGGCCUGGGGACGGGGACAACAGUUGGAAACGACUGCUAAUACCGGAUAAGCCGAGAGGUGAAAGAUUAAUUGCCCGAGGAUGAGCUCGCGUCUGAUUAGCUAGUUGGUGGGGUAAGAGCCUACCAAGGCGACGAUCAGUAACUGGUCUGAGAGGAUGACCAGUCACACUGGGACUGAGACACGGCCCAGACUCCUACGGGAGGCAGCAGUGGGGAAUUUUCCGCAAUGGGCGAAAGCCUGACGGAGCAAUACCGCGUGAGGGAGGAAGGCUCUUGGGUCGUAAACCUCUUUUCUCAGGGAAGAACAGAUGACGGUACCU